rnacentral:rRNA from 1 species
UAGGGAAUCUUGCGCAAUGGGCGAAAGCCUGACGCAGCAAUGCCGCGUGGGGGAUGAAGGCCUUCGGGUUGUAAACUCCUUUUAGUGGGAACGAAAUUGACGGUACCCACAGAAAAAGCCCCGGCUAACUACGUGCCAGCAGCCGCGGUGAUACGUAGGGGGCAAGCGUUGUCCGAAUUCACUGGGCGUAAAGAGCUCGUAGGUGGUUUGGUAAGUCGGGUGUGAAACCUCCAGGCUCAACCUGGAGUCGCCACUCGAUACUGCCAUGGCUAGAGUCCGGUAGGGGACCAUGGAAUUCCUGGUGUAGCGGUGAAAUGCGCAGAUAUCAGGAGGAACACCAGUAGCGAAGGCGGUGGUCUGGGCCGGUACUGACACUGAGGAGCGAAAGCGUGGGGAGCGAACAGG